rnacentral:lncRNA from 1 species
GUUCGGAGCGGCCGAGCCCGCGCGGCCGGGAAGUGGCGGCGGCGGCGGCGGCGGCGGCGGAAGCGCGCGCAAGGCCCAGACGCCGCCGCGCGCAGCCACUGGCAACCGCGCCAUGGCAACCGGACGCCCGGGAGGAAUCUUAAAGCCGCAGCGCCUCCUUUCCCGUCGCCGCCCGUUCCCCAGGGGAAGGCGUCCUAUAGAGGAAGGUUCAGAGCGGGAGUCAGGACUUGGGGUCUGACUCGCACCCUCGUUCGUGUUUAUCGGAUGCGUAUCGGGCCUGCGAGGCCAAGCGCGGGCCAGACGCCGGGGAGGGGAACGGGCAGUGAUUAAAACAUGAACAAGAUCCUGCCAAGAAGAGUUCACAGUCUAGCGCGCAAGGCAGACCAGGCUGGCGAGUGAGGAUGGGGAGCUGAUGGCCUGGUUCCUCCUGACUUCUCCAUGAAUGGUUCCAGGGACUUCUAUUUUCCCAGCUCCUCGGAGGACAUGAUGAGGGUGCUUCAGCCCCUUUGGCCUCUGUCCAAGGUACCCAGGCCCCUGGGACUACAGUCAGGGGCAUGAAUGGUUUUCCUGACCCACCUGGUGUGACCUCCAGCGCAGCCUCCUGUCACCCCGAUCCAGAGAGGAUGGAGAAGGCGCAUCUGCCCACCUGGCCUGUGAAUGGGGAGGGCAUUAGUGCUUUCAAACACCUGUGGUUCUGCACCAUUCCCAGCCUGCCCAGGCCUUUCAGCCAGCCCCAGCCCCUUGCUGCUCCUCUCUGGUCCCAGGUACCUGCUCUAGGGUGGACAGCACCGAGAGGGCCAGCCCCCUGCAUCCCUUGGAAUCCACAACAGACACACAGAGAUGAGAGAGCCAGAGUGAGGAGUGUGAGAGAUCCCAGCCUAUGCUGUUCUGGGAGAGGGAGCCGGCUGCCUGCACACAGAACGGGAUUGCCAGCCAGGAGAACUGCCCUGGCCCAGUUCUCCACCAGCAGCCCUCAGUGCUUCAAAGAAGGCAGCGGUCCUUGGAGGGGUCUCUCCAGCUGUGCUCGGGGACACAAGGGCCUUCUCACCCCACGGGCUGUGGAGUGGGCUGAAGAUCGAACAGCAAGCAAGCAGACUCGGGGCGACUCAGGGAAGGGCAGCGUGAGGCUGGGACCGGAGAGGCAGAUCCUGCUCCUCCCCAGGGCCGGGGGUAUGAAGUGGUCCACUAGGACAGAGAAGACAGUUUUUGGGGUGGGAAGAGGGUGUGGUGGCCUGGAGUGGGACAGUUUCCACUGGCUGCCUCCAAGCUCUGUAUCUUUGCUCCUACCCCAACUUUGUGUCACGAAGCUUGGAACAGAGUCUUGA